rnacentral:rRNA from 1 species
UACGUAGGGUGCGAGCGUUGUCCGGAAUUAUUGGGCGUAAAGAGCUCGUAGGCGGUGUGUCACGUCGGCCGUGAAAACCUGGGGCUUAACUCUGGGCGUGCGGUCGAUACGGGCAUCACUAGAGUUCGGCAGGGGAGACUGGAAUUCCUGGUGUAGCGGUGAAAUGCGCAGAUAUCUGGAAGAACACCGGUGGCGCAAGCGGAUUGCUGGGCCAUAACUGACACUGAGGAACGAAAGCUAGGGGAGCGAAUGGG